CUCCCUCUCCAUCAGUCUUUAGAGCCAGUUCCCUUCUUGCAGCUAUAUAGUUAGGUGCAUUAGGUGUUCUCUCUCUCUCUUUCUCUCUCUCUUUCUCUCUCUUACACUUUUUUUAUUUCUCUCCCUCACACAUCUACCCAUCUAGAGGUCUACUCCCUUUCAAUUCAUCUCUGUUUUCUCAUUUCUUUUCUAACCUCCCUUUUUGCUGUCUUCCUUCUGAGAGUUUCCUCUUCAUGCGCAACAACUGGUAGCUCUCCCCCCCUUUUCUCCUCCUCCCCUCUUCUUCUUUGCGGAAGGUCCGCUUAUCUUCCAGCACCUGUGCUUCGAAGGGUGUUGGAGUGCAAAGUGGGUAGGGUGGGGGGUUCCUGUGGUUUUUGGGUACAAGCCAAGGAGGCAAAAGGAAGCCACGAGGUUUAGAGCUCCUUUCCGGCAUCAUCAGCAGCACCAGCAGCAGCAGCAGAAGCGGCAGAAACGACAGAAGAGGCAGCACAUCCCUCAAUCUCUCACUCACUCUGCUGCUUGAAAGGAAAACGAGGACCUUGCAGGCUUUGUGCUUGCGCCAAGAGCUGCAGAGAAAAGAGAAACAGAGUGAUGGGGACAAACUGACAGGCAUCCAUGGAUCCUGGUAUGUGUAUCUCCAUGUGGAGCGUCUGGGACCAUCUGGAUAAACCCAAAACUGCCAUGAUGGGUCUCCAAUUCACCAUUUAGAUGCAACGUUUGGCUGGCUUGCCCUGUGAAAAAAAGCCCCAUCUUCAAUCAAUCCCCCUAAAGAGAAGGUCUCUGGUGUUGGCCUGUGUGCCACAGUGGCUGUUUGAGUGUCAGGCACUUCCCUCCUCCCUCUUCUUUCUGAGGCUCUCUUCGGUGACGGGUAUUCUUGGGUGGAUAAUACGGAUCACGUUGUUAUUGCUUAAGAAUACGCGUAGUUGAGGAGAGUCAUUUUCGACCGUGCCUUCAGGGAGCUGACCUCGGCUUAACCGCUCUCCAGACGUCCUAGCCGAGUGCCGUUGUUAAAGGAGGGGGAGAAGAAAAAAAUAAGAGGGGGAAAAGAGUGAACGUUUCUAUCGAGGUUCAUUUAUCAGUGCAGCAGAUAAUCAUUUCCCCAGCGUUUGCAUCGAUUUCUCUACGGCAAGUCUUCAUGUUGUUAUUACUCCAGCGUUCUAGCGAGUUGUAUCAGGAGGCUGGCAUUUCCUGCUUGCUGAGACUUCAUCCGUAUCCUCUGUGCAUUUAUAUUUCACCCACCAUCUUGCUAUCAUCCAUCCUGCCACAGUGAUGUUUUAUGUAGCGCUAUUCAACCACACUGCAUUCUGUAUUUCACACAAUUUGCUUGGUUUGCUUGGAGGGUGUUGGUGUGUGGGGUAGAGUGGGGAGUGGCGGAGGGGACAGGCUGUUUAUUCUUUACUUCAGGGAGCGUUUCAGUGUGCACACGCCUGCUCGCCUCUCUGAUGGGAAUGCAUUUACUGCCUUUUUAUAAUCGUGGGCCUUUAAAGGCUGCGAGAUCCCUGGACUGCGCUGAGUGCACACUCAAGCUGAUUACGAGAAGGCCUUAAACGGGAGCACCAAAUGCAUACGAAGGCCUCGUUUCAACUGGAAAAAGAUACUAUAUCUUUAUAGCGCAGCAGGAAAAGCAGCAAAACAGCAUACUCUACUCAAGAAAUCCAGACGCAUAGCGUAGUCUAUCUAGCAUUCUUCACACGCUCCCUUGUGACUGUUCUCUAUACAGCUGAAAUGUCUCGAACGGCUUUCCUCCUACUGAUAAAGAGCCUUUACGCAAAAUGAUGUGCUCUGUAAAAGCACUAAUUACAUUUUAAUGAUGCUCGCCAAAUGCCUGACGUGUGUUUCUGAAGCCCAGUGAAGCCUGUGCCACAUGAUAAUGACCAUCGCUUUCCAUAUAGCCGGCCCCAUUUAUAUGCCAUCACAUUCCUUUUCAAAAAUGUAAUAUAUGAACCAAAGAGCAGCAAUUAAUUACACGCAAUCCAAUCAUGUGCAAGUGUAGCAUCUUACUUCUAUCAAUAGUCCUUAUUUGUUUAUGGAUUAUAGCGUAAAGAACUACAGUGUCAUUAAAAAAAAAAAAAAAAAGAAAGUGUUUUUUUAUUCAUUUAGAUUAAUUAUAGUUCACCUGUUUGAGAUAAAAAUGAAACGCAGGUGUUCUGCAUAAGACAGGAGAUUUCAUUCAUUAAGCUAUGAGAGACAGUGGAAAGCUGCUGUUAUUCAGCCUCAUUAUUCAUCAUGACAAAUACAGUUGGCAAAGACACGUUUUAAUUUACAAGGUAGUGAAACUCCUGAAAAUCAGACACGUGCAGUCUGCUAGACUAAAUAGCAUGUUGUCUUUUUAUACUGUCUCUGCGUGGCUAAAGUAUCACAAAACAUCUAUUCGAAGAAAAAUCCAGUUGCAGGAUAACAUAAAGUAGGAUUUCUUCUUUAGCUUUUUUCAUUUAUCAGCAUUGUAUCGAAGUGACUAUUUAUGAGAGGAAUUCAUAUUCAGUUAUCAAAGUGCAAAACUGCAUAUAAACCAAAACUAAAAACUAAAAAUACUGUAAAUCACAGAUGCUGAAGACAAUGUCAGCUUUUUUUUUAAUAGAUUUAGCCAUGAUCCAGCUCAUAAAAGGCUUCCUGAACACUUAAAUAGCUGCUUUGUUAGUGCAGAGGGAAAUAUAGUUUGAAGAGUUCUCUAGUGAAUAAUUACCUCAGAAGAAUGAAAAACAUUGAAAUUCUUUUUUUUUUUUCCAGGAAUGUGUGUGUGUGUGUGUGUGUGUGUGUGUUGGGUGGGGGGAAGCAGAUGUAAUUCCACUGAUGUAAUUAAAAGCAUUGUUAGAAUAUUAUUAAGCAUUUUGAAUAGGGGAAAUCAGUGAAGUAGAAUCAAUCGCUCAAAAAAGCGUUCGAGCACGGCGAUCAGAGGAUGACGAUGAAUUCUUAAUCCAGAAGUCGAUAUUUCCAUAGACUUCUUUUCUACCCUGAGCUAAUUGCACUACAUUUGAUUUAAAUGACAAAUUCUUUAGCAGCAUACGGCUUCUAUGCAACUUUCGAGACAAAGUCUCGAAUAUAUAAACAGAAUAUUCUCUAGGCCUGACCUACUAGUCUAAGCCUGGUUUUACCAACACAUGUGCAUAUGCACAAUGGGAGAGACGAGAUUUAGACACUGAUUAUAUAUGUCCUAUUGUUCAUCUCUGAAAAACCCAUGUUUCCAUUGUGCUUUCAUUCUGAAAGUCUCUGACCAUUGAUAUUUUUAAGAAAUAAAAUAGAUUUUGUGUGGAAAAAACAUUUUGUGUAAUGAUCCCAAUGAUCAAAUACAUUGUGUUUGAAAUGUACAAUCAGUCCAUUCAACCAUAGUCAUGCACUACCAUACAGUAUGUCAUGCAUAUCAUACAUAAUGCAUAAUGUUAUUAAAGUGGACAUCUUGGUGACCGUUAUUUAUCUUAUACAUGCUGGUCAAAAUUGUGAUAAAAUGUUGUUGUGUUAUAAAACUGUAAUAUCAGCGAUGCAGUAAGGCAGUAAAGAAGUGUUGAGUGUUUCAGAAUGUUAUAAUGACAUCAUUUGCCUUUCAAGAAAACCUUUCAUGUUUGCUUUCCUGUUCAAUAAAUGCACAACUUUUUAUGA